UACCUAUGAGACUGGGAUAACUUCGGGAAACCGGAGCUAAUACCGGAUAAUAUUUUGAACCGCAUGGUUCAAAAGUGAAAGACGGUCUUGCUGUCACUUAUAGAUGGAUCCGCGCUGCAUUAGCUAGUUGGUAAGGUAACGGCUUACCAAGGCAACGAUGCAUAGCCGACCUGAGAGGGUGAUCGGCCACACUGGAACUGAGACACGGUCCAGACUCCUACGGGAGGCAGCAGUAGGGAAUCUUCCGCAAUGGGCGAAAGCCUGACGGAGCAACGCCGCGUGAGUGAUGAAGGUCUUCGGAUCGUAAAACUCUGUUAUUAGGGAAGAACAUAUGUGUAAGUAACUGUGCACAUCUUGACGGUACCUAAUCAGAAAGCCACGGCUAACUACGUGCCAGCAGCCGCGGUAAUACGUAGGUGGCAAGCGUUAUCCGGAAUUAUUGGGCGUAAAGCGCGCGUAGGCGGUUUUUUAAGUCUGAUGUGAAAGCCCACGGCUCAACCGUGGAGGGUCAUUGGAAACUGGAAAACUUGAGUGCAGAAGAGGAAAGUGGAAUUCCAUGUGUAGCGGUGAAAUGCGCAGAGAUAUGGAGGAACACCAGUGGCGAAGGCGACUUUCUGGUCUGUAACUGACGCUGAUGUGCGAAAGCGUGGGGAUCAAACAGGAUUAGAUACCCUGGUAGUCCACGCCGUAAACGAUGAGUGCUAAGUGUUAGGGGGUUUCCGCCCCUUAGUGCUGCAGCUAACGCAUUAAGCACUCCGCCUGGGGAGUACGACCGCAAGGUUGAAACUCAAAGGAAUUGACGGGGACCCGCACAAGCGGUGGAGCAUGUGGUUUAAUUCGAAGCAACGCGAAGAACCUUACCAAAUCUUGACAUCCUUUGACAACUCUAGAGAUAGAGCCUUCCCCUUCGGGGGACAAAGUGACAGGUGGUGCAUGGUUGUCGUCAGCUCGUGUCGUGAGAUGUUGGGUUAAGUCCCGCAACGAGCGCAACCCUUAAGCUUAGUUGCCAUCAUUAAGUUGGGCACUCUAAGUUGACUGCCGGUGACAAACCGGAGGAAGGUGGGGAUGACGUCAAAUCAUCAUGCCCCUUAUGAUUUGGGCUACACACGUGCUACAAUGGACAAUACAAAGGGCAGCGAAACCGCGAGGUCAAGCAAAUCCCAUAAAGUUGUUCUCAGUUCGGAUUGUAGUCUGCAACUCGACUACAUGAAGCUGGAA
rnacentral:rRNA from 1 species